rnacentral:rRNA from 1 species
AGAACGAACGCUGGCGGCAUGCCUAACACAUGCAAGUCGGACGCUUUCGGGGGUUUCGGCCUCCGAGGGAGUGGCGGACGGGUGAGUAGCGCGUGGGAACCUGCCCCUUUGUGGGGGAUAACCGAGGGAAACUUCGGCUAAUACCGCAUGCGCCCGGGGGUAACUCCGGGGAAAGAUUUAUCGCAGAGGGAGGGGCCCGCGUCGGAUUAGGUAGUUGGUGGGGUAACGGCCUACCAAGCCGGUGAUCCGUAGCUGGUCUGAGAGGAUGAUCAGCCACACUGGGACUGAGACACGGCCCAGACUCCUACGGGAGGCAGCAGUGGGGAAUAUUGGACAAUGGGCGCAAGCCUGAUCCAGCAAUGCCGCGUGAGUGAUGAAGGCCUUAGGGUUGUAAAGCUCUUUCGGCGGGGACGAUGAUGACGGUACCCGCAGAAGAACGCCCCGGCUAACUUCGCGCCAGCAGCCGC